GAUGAACGCUGGCGGCGUGCCUAAUACAUGCAAGUCGAGCGAACGGACGAGAAGCUUGCUUCUCUGAUGUUAGCGGCGGACGGGUGAGUAACACGUGGAUCACCUACCUAUAAGACUGGGAUAACUUCGGGAAACCGGAGCUAAUACCGGAUGAUAUUUUGCACCGCAUGGUUCAAAAGUGAAAGACGGUCUUGCUGUCACUUAUAGCUGGAUCCGCGCUGCAUUAGCUAGUUGGUAAGGUAACGGCUUACCAAGGCAACGAUGCAUAGCCGACCUGAGAGGGUGAUCGGCCACACUGGAACUGAGACACGGUCAAGACUCCUACGGGAGGCAGCAGUAGGGAAUCUGCCGCAGUGGGCGAGAGCCUGACGGAGCAACGCCGCGUGAGUGAUGAAGGUCUUCGGAGCGUAAAACUCUGUUAUGAGGGAAGAACAGAUGUGGAAGGAGAUGUGCACAUCGUGACGGUACCUAAUCAGAAAGCCACGGCUAACUACGUG
rnacentral:rRNA from 1 species